UGGGGAAUAUUGGACAAUGGGCGAAAGCCUGAUCCAGCCAUGCCGCGUGUGUGAAGAAGGUCUUCGGUUUGUAAAGCACUUUAAGUUGGGAGGAAGGGCAGUAAGCGAAUACCUUGCUGUUUUGACGUUACCGACAGAAUAAGCACCGGCUAACUCUGUGCCAGCAGCCGCGGUAAUACAGAGGGCGCAAGCGUUAAUCGGAAUUACUGGGCGUAAAGCGCGCGUAGGUGGUUCGUGAGGUUGAAUGUGAAAGCUCCGGGCUCAACCUGGAAACUGCAUCCAAAACUGGCGAGCUAGAGUAGGGCAGAGGGUGGUGGAAUUUCCUGUGUAGCGGUGAAAUGCGUAGAUAUAGGAAGGAACACCAGUGGCGAAGGCGACCACCUGGGCUCAUACUGACACUGAGGUGCGAAAGCGUGGGGAGCAAACAGG
rnacentral:rRNA from 1 species